rnacentral:rRNA from 1 species
ACGUACACUCCUGCGGGAGGCAGCAGUGGGGAAUUUUACGCAAUGGGGGAAACCCUGACGUAGCGACACCGCGUGAGCGAAGAAGCCCUUUGGGGUGUAAAGCUCUGUCAGCUGGAACGAAAACAAUGACGGUACCAGCAGAGGAAGCAUCGGCUAACUACGUGCCAGCAGCCGCGGUAAGACGUAGGAUGCGAGCGUUGUCCGGAUUUAUUGGGCGUAAAGAGUACGUAGGUGGUUUGUUAAGUUUGGUGUUAAAGAUCGGGGCUCAACCCUGGGACUGCACUGAAUACUGGCAGACUCGAGUGUGGUAGAGGCUAGUGGAAUUCCCAGUGUAGCGGUGAAAUGCGUAGAUAUUGGGAAGAACACCGGUGGCGUAGGCGACUAGCUGGGCCAUAACUGACGCUGAGGAACGAAAGCCAGGGGAGCGAAUGGGAUUAGAUACCCGAGUAGUCCCAUGA